CAUUAUCAAAAAUUCACAUUUUUGAAUUGUCCUCUCAAACCAUUGUGUACCUAUUCUCUGUUGCUUCCACUGGAUAGGCAUUUAUUGUUGAGUUUUCACCCUUUAUGUGCCCUCCAGGCCUCAGAAUUGAGGCUGGAGAAUUGCCAGUGGUUAGCCAAUUUCAUUAUGAAAUUUACUGCUAGUCUGACCAAUCAAAAAUCGAAUGAAAAAAACAAAACUUUCAACAACGGAUCUCUAGGCUCUUGCAUCGAUGAAGAACGCAGUGAAAUGUGAUAAGUAAUGUGAAUUGCAGAAUCUCGUGAAUCAUUGAAUUUUUGAACGCAUAUUGCGCCCUAUGGUAUGCCAUUGGGCAUACCUGUUUGAGAGUCAGAAUCCUUCUAAAUCGUCAAACUUCUGUAUAUAUAUGGAGAUGUUUGGAUAUAAAUGAGAGAUGUAAUAAUAUUUUUUUGUUACUCUUUUGAAAAUCAGGACUUAAAAGUUGAUUUUGGCAAUGUCAUUUUGUAUGUGAUAAUCAUAAUGAGUAAUUGCCAUGGACAGCUUUAGACUGUAACAAAACAGAAAUUUUGGUAUGACCUCAAAUCAGGUAGGGAUANCCGCUGAACUUAAGCAUAUCAAUAAGC
rnacentral:rRNA from 1 species